rnacentral:rRNA from 1 species
AUUGAACGCUGGCGGCAGGCCUAACACAUGCAAGUCGAGCGGAGCGGCGGACGGGCGAGUAAUGCCUAGGAAUCUGCCCGGUAGUGGGGGAUAACGUCCGGAUACGGGCGCUAAUACCCUACACUUUCAGACGAGCCUAGGUCGGAUUAGCUAGCUGGUGGGGUAAAGGCCUACCAAGGCGACGAUCCGUAACUGGUCUGCGGGGAUGAUCAGUCACACUGGAACUGAGACACGGUCCAGACUCCUACGGGAGGCAGCAGUGGGGAAUAUUGGACAAUGGGCGAAAGCCUGAUGCAGCCAUGCCGCGUGUGUGAAGAAGGUCUUCGGAUUGUAAAGCACUUUAAGUUGGGAGGCGUUACCAACAGAAUAAGCACCGGCUAACUUCGUGCCAGCAGCCGCGGUAAUAC